UACAGAGGUGGCAAGCGUUGUUCGGAAUCACUGGGCGUAAAGCGCACGUAGGCGGAUUGCUAAGUCAGGGGUGAAAUCCUGGAGCUCAACUCCAGAACUGCCUUUGAUACUGGCGAUCUUGAGUCCGGGAGAGGUGAGUGGAACUGCGAGUGUAGAGGUGAAAUUCGUAGAUAUUCGCAAGAACACCAGUGGCGAAGGCGGCUCACUGGCCCGGUACUGACGCUGAGGUGCGAAAGCGUGGGGAGCAAACAGG
rnacentral:rRNA from 1 species